rnacentral:rRNA from 2 species
UACGUAUGGUGCAAGCGUUGUUCGGAAUCAUUGGGCGUAAAGGGUGUGUAGGCGGACUAACAAGUCAGGUGUGAAAUCUUCGGGCUCAACUCGAAACCUGCAUUUGAAACUGUUAGUCUGGAAUCUGGGAGAGGCAAGUGGAAUUUCUGGUGUAGCGGUGAAAUGCGUAGAUAUCAGAAGGAACACCGAUGGCGAAGGCAACUUGCUGGCCUAAGAUUGACGCUGAAACACGAAAGCGUGGGUAGUGAACGGG